rnacentral:rRNA from 1 species
UAAUGUAUGGGGAUCUGCCCGAUAGAGGGGGAUAACUACUGGAAACGGUGGCUAAUACCGCAUAAUGUCUACGGACCAAAGCAGGGGCUCUUCGGACCUUGCACUAUCGGAUGAACCCAUAUGGGAUUAGCUAGUAGGUGGGGUAAAGGCUCACCUAGGCGACGAUCUCUAGCUGGUCUGAGAGGAUGAUCAGCCACACUAGGACUGAGACACGGCCCAG